rnacentral:lncRNA from 1 species
AAAGAGGUCACUGCAAGUGUCCUGCGCAAUUUCUGUUCAGCACCUCUGCAGUGACGACAGGGGUUUGCUUUCGUAAGCAGCAUCGUUUUCACUACUACAGAAGCACAUACGCCGCGUGCAGCUUAGGCCCGAGCAAAGUCCCUGCUCCCCUAGACCCAGUCCCUUCAGGUGUCCCCCUAGGGGAACUGUGGCGUGUCCCCCCAACCAGGCGCACUCGCCUAAACUGCGUCCCCGAACUCCAGGGCGCAGGGAGCCCUCGCGGGCUGCCCGGAACUGGGGAGCCGCCACCACCUCGGCCACCUCGUUCCCCCACCCCUUGCCGUCCGCGCUCAGGCCCCGCCCCCGCGGAGCCGCCGCAGGGUUAUAUUGGGCCGGCCCGAAGGUGGAGGCGAGACGCAGCCGCGGCAGGCCAGCGGGGAGAUGCUGCCCCGGAGGCUGGGAGCGGGAAGGCGGCUGCGGGCGCAGCGGCCUCGGGGACUCGCCUCCGCGGGUGCUCAAGGCUGAAGGCGCCGGACCUUCCCCCACGGUGGCACGCACAUCAUCC